rnacentral:rRNA from 1 species
AACCUGGUUGGGUGGUCUGCCUUCACGGUACGUACUGCUUGGCCGGGUUCUACCUCUUGGUGAGCCAGCAUGCCCUUCACUGGGUGUGUCGGGGAACCAGGACUUUUACCUUGAGAAAAUUAGAGUGUUUAAAACAGGCUUAUGCUUGAAUACAUUAGCAUGGAAUAACGGAAUAGGACU